AUUAUAUUGAUUAUUUCCGUACGUGUAGAAAAUGUUAAAAUAAUCGAAGAUAAAAAGAAUGUACUUAAAAUAGAUUUA